GACGAACGCUGGCGGCGUGCUUAACACAUGCAAGUCGAACGGAAAGGCCCUGCGUUUGUGGGGUGCUCGAGUGGCGAACGGGUGAGUAACACGUGAGUAACCUGCCCUUGACUUUGGGAUAACUUCAGGAAACUGGGGCUAAUACCGGAUAGGAGCUCCUGCUGCAUGGUGGGGGUUGGAAAGUGUCGGCGGUUGGGGAUGGACUCGCGGGUUAUCCGCUUGUUGGUGGGGUAGUGGCUUACCAAGGCUUCGACGGGUAGCCGGCCUGGGAGGGGGACCGGCGACAUUGGGACUGAGAGACGGCGCAGACUCCUACGGGAGGCAGCAGUGGGGAAUAUUGCACAAUGGGCGGAAGCCUGAUGCAGCAACGCCGCGUGCGGGAUGACGGCCUUCGGGUUGUAAACCGCUUUCGCCUGUGACGAAGCGUGAGUGACGGUAAUGGGUAAAGAAGCACCGGCUAACUACGUG
rnacentral:rRNA from 1 species